CCCCUCUCUUUGUCCGAAAACGGAAAACUAUAUAUAAAAGGAGAGAGAAACCCUACAUUCCUUCUUCUUCGAGUUCUUCGCCUCAGUCACAUCCAAUGCCGUCCCUAGCUUUAUCCGACAAGAAUGAGGAGCGGAAGAUGAAGGAGAGGAAGAGUCGGAGAAGAAGCGGAACGCGACGGAGAUGGCGGAAUCGGAGGUGGACGAGAGCGACACGAACUCGGAAUUAGUGGCGCCCGCCGGUGAGUUCCGUGGCGGAGAAGAGGAGGAGAAACAAGAAGGCGGAGGUCGAUGAGGAUGAGUUGGAGUCCGAGGAAGAGCAGGAGAAACCCUAACGCCGUCGCGAAGUUUCGGGUCUCGGCUCCGGCGAGGGAGAAGCUGAAGGAGAAGGGAAUUUCCAAUUCGGGAAAUGACCUUUGACAUGGUCCUGGAUGGCGAUGGUUCUGAUCUGGUCGGACGCGGUCGCACUGGCCAGGUAUUGUCGGCCAUCUUUGAAAUCUUCUCCUGUCUGAUCAUCUGGGUAGAAACACAUAUGACGGGUUCUUGUAUUGUGAAUCUCCUAGUCGAUUUUCUCCUUCACGUUUCACUAAUUUAAUCAAAGAAGAAAUGCUGCUCAAGUUCAAAGCUUUCUCCUGUAGUUUGAUUGUGAGAAUUAGAACGUUCUUCCUAUUGCCGCUAUGAUAUAUCCAUCAAAGUUUGAAACUUUCAGUCGUGUGGCAGCUGAGUGACUAUAAAUUUAUGAGGAUUCUUGUUCUGUGUAUUUUGAAUUUCUGUAUGAUGACAUUGUUCCUAUAUCAGCGGAUUUGGCUGAUCAUGUUUGGUCUUGUGCUGGGUAAAAACACGCUGGCCUUUGUGUUAAUUAGCCAAGCAGGUAUGAGAUUUCGGACAAAGGCUUAGUGUAUUGGGAUUUUUGUGUAAUCUGCAUUUGCUAGCAACGCCAGUUCUACGCUAAGGUUUUUGCUGACUUUGAUGUAUAUGGAGGGGCGGUAUGGCUAUCUUCUUGCUGUCUCAAGAGUAUAAAGGUAGAUAUUGUAGUUGGAACCCCUUGUCGGAUAAAGGAUCGUGUUGAAAGUCACAACAACAUCAACCUGAGCUUUUUAAAGUUCCGGGUUCUUGAUGAGGCUGAUGAAAAUGUCGAUAACGGGGUUCGUUGAGGACGUUGAACUCGUAAUGGUUUCUUCAGGGAAGGUGGAGGAUGCUUCUUUUCGGCGCGAGAUUUGGUGAAGAAUGUGCUUCUCUUCAAUAUAUGAUCUUACUCUAUUCUUGAACCAGCAUCACUCCGAUUGCCCGGUUGUAUUUUUGCUGUUCUUUUCCCUUCUAUAAUUCAUUUAGAAUUUCAAGGCCUGCUUGCUGGUUUCUUGAGCCGAGCAAGAAAAACCAUCGAUCUUGAUGGUAAAUGCGAAGAAGAAAGCCAGCACCAAUGUUUCUGUAAUAGAGAUGUAAUCUUUAUUACAGUCUUCUUACUUCACAUGUUCUGUCUGUUAUCGAGAGUGCAGUCCCGAAUCAUUUUUUUCUCCCUUUAAUCCCUCUUUUAAUCGAUGUUUUGUCGUUGCAGGUUACUCUUUCCAGGUUUAGGAAUGGGCAAGUUCUCAUCAAUGGUAGCACGUGGACUGUAUAUAUCAACAAUGUUCUCAAAAUUACAAUUCGCCUAUGGCGUACUGAGGAGAGUCUUGCCGGAAGAGAAGGUUGAGUCAAUAGAAGGGCAGAUGGAACGGAUGCUUCCACAAUCAGAUUCAGAUAUCUCUCCCAAGGUUGUAAUAAUUCGAUCACGCCUCAUCCUCUUUGUUAAUAUAUUCGUUAUAGAAUCCGAGAUUUUUGUUCUAUCUUUUGGGUAUAUAAUCGUCUGCUGAAUGAAUUAUUUGUUUUCGUUCAUUUUGAUUUUGGGUUAAA